rnacentral:rRNA from 1 species
AAAAGAAACCAACAGGGAUUGCCCCAGUAACGGCGAGUGAAGCGGCAACAGCUCAAAUUUGAAAUCUGGCCCUUCCCCUGGGGGGCCCCGAGUUGUACUUUGGAGAGGAUGCUUUGGGCGCGGCGCCUUCCGAGUUCCUUGGAACAGGACGCCAGAGAGGGUGAGAGCCCCGUACGGUCGGACGCCUAGCCCGUGUAAAGCUCCUUCGACGAGUCGAGUAGUUUGGGAAUGCUGCUCAAAAUGGGAGGUAAAUUUCUUCUAAAGCUAAAUACCGGCCAGAGACCGAUAGCGCACAAGUAGAGUGAUCGAAAGAUGAAAAGCACUUUGAAAAGAGGGUUAAACAGCACGUGAAAUUGUUGAAAGGGAAGCGCCUGUGGCCAGACGUGCGCCCCGCGGACCACCCGCCGGUUUCCGGCGGGGCACGCCGCGGGUGCGCAGGCCAGCAUCGGCUUCCCCAGGGGGACAAAGGCCGCGGGAACGUAGCUCCUUCGGGAGUGUUAUAGCCCGCGGCGUCAUGCCCCUGGGGGGGCCGAGGA